rnacentral:rRNA from 1 species
GUUGGUGAGGUAACGGCCCACCAAGGCGACGAUUGGUAGCCGGACUGAGAGGUUGAACGGCCACAUUGGGACUGAGACACGGCCCAGACUCCUACGGGAGGCAGCAGUGGGGGAUAUUGCACAAUGGGGGAAACCCUGAUGCAGCGACGCCGCGUGGAGGAAGAAGGUUUUCGGAUUGUAAACUCCUGUCGUUAGGGACGAUAAUGACGGUACCUAACAAGAAAGCACCGGCUAACUACGUGCCAGCAGCCGCGGUAAAACGUAGGGUGCAAGCGUUGUCCGGAAUUACUGGGUGUAAAGGGAGCGCAGGCGGACCGGCAAGUUGGAAGUGAAAACUAUGGGCUCAACCCAUAAAUUGCUUUCAAAACUGCUGGCCUUGAGUAGUGCAGAGGUAGGUGGAAUUCCCGGUGUAGCGGUGGAAUGCGUAGAUAUCGGGAGGAACACCAGUGGCGAAGGCGACCUACUGGGCACCAACUGACGCUGAGGCUCGAAAGCAUGGGUAGCAAACAGGAUUAGAUACCCUGGUAGUCCAUGCCGUAAACGAUGAUUACUAGGUGUUGGAGGAUUGACCCCUUCAGUGCCGCAGUUAACACAAUAAGUAAUCCACCUGGGGAGUACGACCGCAAGGUUGAAACUCAAAGGAAUUGACGGGGGCCCGCACAAGCAGUGGAGUAUGUGGUUUAAUUCGAAGCAACGCGAAGAACCUUACCAGGUCUUGACAUCCGAUGCAUAGUGCAGAGAUGCAUGAAGUCCUUCGGGACAUCGAGACAGGUGGUGCAUGGUUGUCGUCAGCUCGUGUCGUGAGAUGUUGGGUUAAGUCCCGCAACGAGCGCAACCCUUAUUGCCAGUUACUACGCAAGAGGACUCUGGCGAGACUGCCGUUGACAAAACGGAGGAAGGUGGGGAUGACGUCAAAUCAUCAUGCCCUUUAUGACCUGGGCUACACACGUACUACAAUGG